ACGCCUUCCGGGAACUGAGGAUAAUACCCUAUAGGUUACCGAUGCUGGAAUGCUCGGUAACUCAAAGUUCCGGCGCCUUAGGAUGGAUCUGCGGCCGAUUAGGUUGUUGUUGGGGUAACGGCCCAACAAGCCCGUAAUCGGUACGGGUUGUGGGAGCAAGAGCCCGGAGUUGGAUUCUGAGACGCGAAUCCAGGCCCUACGGGGCGCAGCAGGCGCGAAAACUUUACAAUGCGGGCAACCGUGAUAAGGGAACCUCGAGUGCCUGUACAUGCAGGCUGUCUGGGUGUCUAAAACACACCCAAAGAAAGGGCCGGGCAAGACCGGUGCCAGCCGCCGCGGUAAUACCGGCGGCUCGAGUGGUGGCCACUUUUAUUGGGCUUAAAGCGUUCGUAGCUGGGUUGUUAAGUCUCUUGGGAAAUCCGGCGGCUUAACCGUCGGGCGUCUAAGAGAUACUGGCAAUCUUGGAACCGGGAGAGGUGAGGGGUACUUCGGGGGUAGGAGUGAAAUCCUGUAAUCCUCGAGGGACCACCUGUGGCGAAGGCGCCUCACCAGAACGGCUUCGACAGUGAGGGACGAAAGCUGGGGGAGCAAACCGGAUUAGAUACCCGGGUAGUCCCAGCCGUAAACGAUGUGCGUUAGGUGUAUCGACGACCACGAGUCGUCGAGGUGCCGAAGGGAAACCGUGAAACGUACCGCCUGGGAAGUACGGUCGCAAGGCUGAAACUUAAAGGAAUUGGCGGGGGAGCACCACAACAGGUGGAGCCUGCGGUUUAAUUGGACUCAACGCCGGGAAGCUCACCGGAUAGGACAGCGGAAUGAUUGCCGGGCUGAAGACUCUGCAUGACUAGCUGAGAGGAGGUGCAUGGCCGUCGUCAGUUCGUACUGUGAAGCAUCCUGUUAAGUCAGGCAACGAGCGAGACCCACGCCAACAGUUGCCAGCACGAUCCCCGGAUCGGUGGGGACACUGUUGGGACCGCCUCUGCUAAAGAGGAGGAAGGAAUGGGCAACGGUAGGUCAGCAUGCCCCGAAUUAUCCGGGCUACACGCGGGCUACAAUGGGCAGGACAAUGGGUAUCGACACCGAAAGGUGAAGGCAAUCUCCUAAACCUGUCCGUAGUUCGGAUUGUGGGCUGUAACUCGCCCACAUGAAGCUGGAAUCUGUAGUAAUCGC
rnacentral:rRNA from 1 species